rnacentral:rRNA from 1 species
GAUGAACGCUGGCGGCGUGCCUAAUACAUGCAAGUCGAGCGAACGGACGAGAAGCUUGCUUCUCUGAUGUUAGCGGCGGACGGGUGAGUAACACGUGGAUAACCUACCUAUAAGACUGGGAUAACUUCGGGAAACCGGAGCUAAUACCGGAUAAUAUUUUGAACCGCAUGGUUCAAAAGUGAAAGACGGUCUUGCUGUCACUUAUAGAUGGAUCCGCGCUGCAUUAGCUAGUUGGUAAGGUAACGGCUUACCAAGGCAACGAUGCAUAGCCGACCUGAGAGGGUGAUCGGCCACACUGGACAUGAGACACGGUCCAGACUCCUACGGGAGGCAGCAGUAGGGAAUCUUCCGCAAUGGGCGAAAGCCUGACGGAGCAACGCCGCGUGAGUGAUGAAGGUCUUCGGAUCGUAAAACUCUGUUAUUAGGGAAGAACAUAUGUGUAAGUAACUGUGCACAUCUUGACGGUACCUAAUCAGAAAGCCACGGCUAACUACGUG